rnacentral:rRNA from 1 species
UUGUCCUUAGUUACCAGCACGUUAUGGUGGGCACUCUAAGGAGACUGCCGGUGACAAACCGGAGGAAGGUGGGGAUGACGUCAAGUCAUCAUGGCCCUUACGGCCAGGGCUACACACGUGCUACAAUGGUCGGUACAAAGGGUUGCCAAGCCGCGAGGUGGAGCUAAUCCCAUAAAACCGAUCGUAUUCCGGAUCGCAGUCUGCAACUCGACUGCGUGAAGUCGGAAUCGCUAGUAAUCGUGAAUCAGAACGUCACGGUGAAUACNUUCCCGGGCCUUG